rnacentral:rRNA from 1 species
UCCACGCCCUAAACGAUGAAUGUUAGUCGUCGGGAUGCAAGUCAUUUCGGUGAUGCAGUUAACACAUUAAACAUUCCGCCUGGGGAGUACGGUCGCAAGAUUAAAACUCAAAGGAAUAGACGGGGACCCGCACAAGUGGUGGAGCAUGUGGUUUAAUUCGAAGAUACGCGAAGAACCUUACCUAGCCUUGACAUUGAUAGAAUCCCGUAGAGAUACAGGAGUGCCCUUCGGGG